rnacentral:rRNA from 1 species
AGGACGAACGCUGGCGGCGUGCCUCAUACAUGCAAGUGGAGCGACGAACCAGGAUUUAUCCUGGGGCAAAGCCGCGAACGGGUGAGUAACACGUGGGUUACCUGCCCCGAUGAUUGGGACAACCCGAGGAAACUCGGGCUAAUACCAAAUGUGUUCUUGGUCGUGAUGACCAAGAAGAAAGGAAGCCCCGGCCUCCGCAUCGGGAUGGGCCCGCGGCCCAUUAGCUAGUUGGCGGGUAAUGGCCCACCAAGACUGUGAUCGGUA